rnacentral:rRNA from 1 species
UUCCGUAGGUGAACCUGCGGAAGGAUCAUUCACACGCAUCAACAAUCUCACUGUGAACUUCCUUUGUGAGCUCUUGCGCGGGGAUAGGGGCAGUAGCCGCUUCCUGGUCAUUAGUUCGCGGGUAGUGGAGCAGAAUCGGACUGUCUUCUUUUGCUGCGAAACUACCGUUAUUCUUGCAACAUGUGUGUUUCUCACUCGUACUUUCUGGUGGCUUUGUCCACUCUUUGCAUCAAACACAACUUUCAGCGACGGAUGUCUCGGCUCGAACAACGAUGAAGGGCGCAGCGAAGUGUGAUAAGCAUUGUGAAUUGCAGAAUUCCGUGAACCAAUAGGGAUUUGAACGUAUACUGCGCUUUCGGGACAUCCCUGAAAGCAUGCCUGCUUCGGUGUCUAUUGAUAUUCCUGCCUUUGACGUGUGCUCAGUAUUCGCUUGGCACUGUCAGAUGUGCGUGUUUGUGUGUCAAAGUGCUUUGUGCCUUUGACGCAUUCAGUGCAUAGGUGCUGUCCACAACGAUCAACUUAAUUAGCACUUUCAGUGUAUUGUGUUGUUCUGUUGUUGGUCGCCUGCCUGCUCCACCUUGUCCUUGCGAUAUUAUUCAAGACAUGAAGUUAGGUCAGCAAACCCGCUGAAUUUAAGCAUAUCA